rnacentral:rRNA from 1 species
AACGUAGGAGACAAACGUUAUCCGGAGUUACUGGGCGUAAAGGGCGUGUAGGCGGUUAGUUAAGUCUGGCGUGAAAGCUCUCGGCUAAACCGGGAGAGGUCGUUGGAUACUGGCGAACUAGAGGACUGGUAGAGGCGUGUGGAAUUCCGGGUGUAGUGGUGAAAUGCGUAGAGAUCCGGAGGAACACCAGUGGCGAAGGCGACACGCUGGGCCUACCUGACGCUAAAGCGCGACAGCAUGGG